GUUAACUUUAUCUUAUUGUAUCAUAAAGCACUUCAUAUGGAUAAAGAAUGGGCAUUUCUCUGGGCUCCUAACCUCUCUGUAUUGAGUUUGUCCAACUGCUGUCUACUGCAAGAAGGUCCAGGUUGUUGAGGGAAAGCUGUAUUUUUUCACAGUUGCCUUGUAGAUGCCCAAUCACUGUACAUCAGAGAGCAGGCUCACAGUGGCAUUUGAAGAUGGAAUGAAUAGGUAAAUGAAUUAGGACAGUGACAUAAAAGAGAAAAUUGGGUUUAAUGGACUCCUCUUUGAUGAGGAUCCAAUCUGGUUUAUGUAACUCCCAUAUGAGAACCAUGGCCCAAGAAGUGGAUUUUAUGGGCAGAUUGGCUUUUAUAAGGAACAACUUCCUUUGCAUUAGGAUUACUGCCUGAGAAAGAGGUGAGCUCAGUCAUGUUCACUGUAGUUCCUGUUCAAGUGGAAGCCAGGUAUUUAUCUGCAGAAACAAAGGAAAGAAUUGCUGCUGAAGAGCUGGAUGGCCUCUUUGGAUCUCUUCCAACUCUGAGGUCCUCCAACAAUGGUCAUGAACAUGACUUUUUAUAUGGGUAGACAGGGAAGUCUUUGGAAAGAAAUGAAUCCUCGUGGUUGCAUUUGAUUUGCAGGGAAACCAGACGAAGCCCAGAGGAGAGCACCCACUGCCUUCAGCCUCACAACCCUUUCACUUUCAGGGAUAAGAACCCACCCUUCCAUCUCCCAGCCACAUCUGCAGAUGCCUUAGAGCCCAACACUUCCUUCAGGGUGUCUGCAAAUAGAAUAGAGAGGUCUUUGAUAUGACGGUGGGACUCAAGGACAGGGGCUUCUUUAUUUUGUAGGCAGGGUGCUUAGUCAAGUGGAAAGGAAGAAUGAUCAGGAAAGUCAGUGUAAAGUAAGAACUUAGAAGGAGAAACUAGAGGAAGUGAAGUAAGAGGCUGAAUAAGGAGAAGAUCUCCAGGAGGUUGUCUUCCUGAACCCUGGAAAACGAAGUUAAUUGUGCAAUGCAAAGGGGCAAGCAAUGUUGAUGAUGAGACAACUGAAUGGACAGAAGAAAAAGGCAAAGGAAGUGGAAAGAAGAGCCAAAGUCAGGUGCAAAAGAGAAAUUGCGGGUAGACCAGGUUUGCUUUUCCACCUACAGUGAACCCUUGGAUUAUGACCAGCCUGACAUACAACAUGGGUUAUGACUGGAAUUUUAGUUUUAACUUAUGACCAAAGUCUUGAGUUACGACCCAAAUGUUGGCUGCUUGUGCUUCCAGUUGGUCUCAGAUACAGAUUUUACCCUUAAAGAGUUCUGAAAGGAACAUUACAACAUCCUUCCCUGUAUGGGGUUAAUUGAGAAAUCCUGGGCCAAUUUCUCUUUAAGGACACUGAGAUUUUCCUGUAUACAGGAGAGAGACUUUGAAGGCUGUGUAGAGGAGCCUGAGCUUUUAAUUGACCAACCUGAGUGACAACCAGCUCUCUUGAAUGAAUCGAGUUUGGAAGUCAAAGGUCCACUGUAUUUGUAUCCGAUAUGAGCACUGGGAUGAUAGGUAAUGAUGUCUAUGAUUUCAGAGAAUUACAUACAACUAUUAUACUCCCUUCUCCUUCUUCUCAGGUGCUGUCUCCAGGACCAACCUCAUGGUUUCACUAUAGACUUUAAGGGAUCACGAGGAAGGAAUAAUGGUGCCAGCAGGCACCUGGGAAAGGGGCUGCAGAAGAAAGAAUGGUUUCAAGAGACCCUUGGGGAAGGACUCCAAUAACUGACAGUCUUUACUUGCUUGCUUGCAUAAGUGCCAAACUGUCUGUUGUUGUUUAUUUGUUUCUUGUUUAUUUCACAGGACCACGUACACAUAGUUGCUUUCUGAUUUGUGGUUUAACCUUGCCCUGUACUUAAAAGGACUGGGUCCCAGGGCAUCGUGGCUGUCUCACAUGGUUCCCUAGCAACCAAAUGAGACAGGGAAAUGUGCACAGUUGCAUCACCACAAGAUGUUAGGUCAAUUAAUAUUCAUUAGAAGUGCCUGUGUUUGACUGCUGGGAGACAUUAUGGAGAAAAAUAUCUUUGUUGCUGGAGUGGGGGAUGGAAGAAGAGAAGGGACAGUGAAUAUGUAUAUUAUAUACUGCAGACAUGUUUCUUAUAUUAGUACAUUGGCCCAUUUGUACAUGUAUGUAAAGAUUUUCAAAAAAUUAUUGUUUUUACAAUUAUCCUUCUAGGUUUAUUAUAUGGGAAUAGAUUUCAGAAACAAAGGAAGAUUCUACCUCAAGUACAGCUUUGUGGGAAAAGGACUCAAAUCAACUUUUGCAUCAUUUCUACAGCCAGAACCAGCUGCAUUUGGAACUAACUGCCUCUCAUUUGUUUACAAGAUGUUGAGAUUAUCCUGGAUUAUUUGAGUGGGCCCUAAGUGCAACCUAUGUAUCCUCAUAAGAAGGAGAUCUGACACAGAAGAAGAGGAGAAGGCAACAGGACCAAAGAGGCAGAGGCAGAGAUUUGAAGGAUGUGACCAUAAGGCUAAGAGUGUUGGCUGCUACCAAAGCUGCGCGAGGGCAAAUCACAACACGUUUCAUGUGCGGUCAUAUCUGAAGUAGAGGAGCAUGUGAAGGAAUUCCUGAGAAAACCUCCAGGCAGGAGUUGAGAAGGAGAAUGCUUGAGAAGGAAGCGGUCAUCCCAGGGUGCGUUGAAGUCUGACGGAAGGUACAAUACCACUCAUUGAGAAUUUAUAAUGGGCUAGGCCCAACAAUAGUUCUUUAGACAGUCUUUCACUUACAAAAACUUUGUGAGAUAGUUGCUUCAUUAUUUUCAUCCCACUUUGAAAUGAGGAAGUGGAGAUACAGAAAACUGCUCAUGGUUAUGAGGCUCAGAAGGGAAAGGAGGCAACUGGCUCUAGAAUCCACAUUAAUUACCUUGC
ensembl:lncRNA